CCUACGGGUGGCAGCAGUAGGGAAUAUUGCUCAAUGGGGGAAACCCUGAAGCAGCAACGCCGCGUGGAGGAUGAAGGUUUUCGGAUUGGAAACUCUUUUUGUUAGAGAAGAUAAUGACGGUAUCUAACGAAUAAGCACCGGCUAACUCCGUGCCAGCAGCCGCGGUAAUACGGAGGGUGCCAGCGUUACUCGGAAUCACUGGGCGUAAAGAGCGCGUAGGCGGGAUAGCAAGUCAGAUGUGAAAUCGUAUGGUUUAACCAUAGAACUGCAUUUGAAACUGUUAUUCUAGAGUAUGGGAGAGGUAGGUGGAAUUCGUGGUGUAGCGGUAAAAUCCGUAGAGAUCAAGAAGAAUACUCAUUGCGAAGGCGACCUACUAGAACAUAACUGACGCUGAUGCGCGAAAGCGUGGGGAGCAAACAGGAUUAGAUACCCUAGUAGUC
rnacentral:rRNA from 1 species